rnacentral:rRNA from 1 species
UACGUAGGGGGCAAGCGUUUAUCCGGAAUUACUGGGCGUAAAGCGCACGCAGGCGGUUCGCCAAGUUUGGAGUGACAGUUGUCGGCUCAACCGACAAAGGACUUCAAAAACUGGUGAACUUGAGGACGAGAGAGGAACAUGGAACUCCAGGUGUAGUAGUGAAAUGCGCAGAUAUCAGGAGGAACACCGAUGGCGAAGGCAGGUCUCUGGGCAUUAACUGACGCUGAGGAGCGAAAGCAUGGGGAGCGAACAGG